AGCGAACGCUGGCGGCAGGCCUAACACAUGCAAGUCGAACGAACCUUUCGGGGUUAGUGGCGGACGGGUGAGUAACACGUGGGAACGUGCCUUUAGGUUCGGAAUAACUCAGGGAAACUUGUGCUAAUACCGAAUGUGCCCUUCGGGGGAAAGAUUAAUCGCCUUUAGAGCGGCCCGCGUCUGAUUAGCUAGUUGGUUGAGGUAAUGGCUCACCAAGGCGACGAUCAGUAGCUGGUCUGAGAGGAUGAUCAGCCACAUUGGGACUGAGACACGGCCCAAACUCCUACGGGAGGCAGCAGUGGGGAAUCUUGCGCAAUGGGCGAAAGCCUGACGCAGCCAUGCCGCGUGAAUGAUGAAGGUCUUAGGAUUGUAAAAUUCUUUCACCGGGGACGAUAAUGACGGGACCCGGAGAAGAAGCCCCGGCUAACUUCGU
rnacentral:rRNA from 1 species